rnacentral:rRNA from 1 species
GUAGGUGGCAAGCGUUGUCCGGAAUUAUUGGGCGUAAAGCGCGCGCAGGCGGUCCUUUAAGUCUGAUGUGAAAGCCCACGGCUCAACCGUGGAGGGUCAUUGGAAACUGGGGGACUUGAGUACAGAAGAGGAAAGCGGAAUUCCAAGUGUAGCGGUGAAAUGCGUAGAGAUUUGGAGGAACACCAGUGGCGAAGGCGGCUUUCCGGUCUGUAACUGACGCUGAGGCGCGAAAGCGUGGGGAGCAAACAGGAUUAGAUACCCUGGUAGUCCACGCCGUAAACGAUGAGUGCUAAGUGUUAGGGGGUUUCCCGCCCCCCUUAGUGCUGCAGCUAACGCAUUAAGCACUCAGCCUGGGGAGUACGGCCCGCAAGGCUG